GACGAACGCUGGCGGCGUGCUUAACACAUGCAAGUCGAGCGAGGUCCAUCCAGUGGCAACACUGGGGAAGACCUAGCGGCGAACGGGUGAGUAACACGUGAGCAACCUGCCCCGAAGACUGGGAGUAACACCGGGAAACCGGUGCUAAUACCGGGUGCCCUCCUCUGGUCGCAUGGCCUAGGGAGGAAAGGACUGUAUCUAAUAAAUGCAGCUGCUUCGGGAGGGGCUCGCGGGCAUCAGCUUGUUGGUGAGGUAACGGCUCACCAAGGCGACGACGGCUAGCUGGUCUGAGAGGACGACCAGCCACACUGGGACUGAGACACGGCCCAGACUCCUACGGGAGGCAGCAGUGGGGAAUCUUGCGCAAUGGGCGAAAGCCUGACGCAGCAACGCCGCGUGGGGGA
rnacentral:rRNA from 1 species